rnacentral:misc_RNA from 1 species
UUGGCAAUUUAUCUCUGAACAUUUCACCUCGGAGUGAGGGCCUAAGGAAACAAAACUAGCGGCCUGGGUUAGAUAAAUUAAAGAGAUUUUAUUCUACAGGGCUUUGGCAAUAGGAUUACGAAGUAUAUAAAAUUAAAAACGAGUCCUAAACAAAUUUAGCAUGAAAGACUUCAUUCUUAUAAAAACUACACCAGCAUAAUUUCACAAUACAAGGAUUAAUAGUCUAGCAAUUUACGAGUUUUUCUAGAUGAAACCAUCGAAAACAAAGUGCACACGAAGAUUGGCGAACAAUCAUACAGCAGGCCAACAAAAAGCAUAAUGGCAGAAAAAGAUUUCUAAUUCUGGUGAGCUUUUCUUCUAAGCACUCUUCUUCUCAACAAGUUUCUCAAUAAGAUCAGCAGCAUCCU